UAGGGAAUCUUCGGCAAUGGACGGAAGUCUGACCGAGCAACGCCGCGUGUGUGAAGAAGGUUUUCGGAUCGUAAAGCUCUGUUGUAAGAGAAGAACGAGUGUGAGAGUGGAAAGUUCACGCUGUGACGGUAUCUUACCAGAAAGGGACGGCUAACUACGUGCCAGCAGCCGCGGUAAUACGUAGGUCCCGAGCGUUGUCCGGAUUUAUUGGGCGUAAAGCGAGCGCAGGCGGUUAGAUAAGUCUGAAGUUAAAGGCUGUGGCUUAACCAUAGUACGCUUUGGAAACUGUUUAACUUGAGUGCAAGAGGGGAGAGUGGAAUUCCAUGUGUAGCGGUGAAAUGCGUAGAUAUAUGGAGGAACACCGGUGGCGAAAGCGGCUCUCUGGCUUGUAACUGACGCUGAGGCUCGAAAGCGUGGGGAGCAAACAGGAUUAGAUACCCUGGUAGUCCACGCCGUAAACGAUGAGUGCUAGGUGUUAGACCCUUUCCGGGGUUUAGUGCCGCAGCUAACGCAUUAAGCACUCCGCCUGGGGAGUACGACCGCAAGGUUG
rnacentral:rRNA from 1 species